CACGUAGGCGGUCUGUUAUGUCGGAUGUGAAAGCCCUUGGCUCAACUGAGGAAGUGCAUCCGAAACUGGCAGGCUAGAGUACUAAAGAGGGUCGCGGAAUUCCCGGUGUAGAGGUGAAAUUCGUAGAUAUCGGGAGGAACACCGGUGGCGAAGGCGGCGACCUGGGUAGAUACUGACGCUGAGGUGCGAAAGCGUGGGGAGCAAACA
rnacentral:rRNA from 1 species